CUUACUAUGAAUAGCAUAUUAUCAUAUUCACGAAUAUGAAUAUCAUAUUUCAUAAUAUUGAAAUCAUGUGGAAUCAGAUACAAAUCAAAUGUUUUUAUUAUGUUUGUUUGAAAAAAAUUUGUUUAAACUGUUACUACUUUUGGGGUUCUGUGCUAUCUCUAUGUCUUAUGAUGGCCUCCAAGGAGAGAAAGUUCACUUCUUUGGCCUUUCUAGAAACUGGAAAAUAAAGAGCAAACUCCUCUACUUCCCUUAAUCAUCCAAACAGUGAAACCAAAAGUCAAGUGCUAAACAAGGAGGCUGUGGAUGUAGCAAUUGUUCACAGUUCUUACAACAUUCAGGCUGCAGUGAGGGCUGCUUCUUGAGGGAACAUAUUUUGGUUUGUUUUUUUUUUUUUUUUUUUCCUCCUGCCUGCCUUUGAGGAUGCAUUUUGCUGAGUCAAGUUAGCACAAUAUUCAUUGUUCACGUGAGAAAAAACAAUUUAAUAAUUAAAAUUUUUUUCAUGUUUAUUUAUUUAUUUUGAGAGAGAGAGAGUGUGUGCACAAGUAGGGGAGGGGCAGAAAGAGAGAGAAAGAAAGAAUCCCAAGCAGGCUCCAUGCUGUCAGUGCAGAGCCCAAUGCAAGGCUCAGACUUGUGAACCGUGGGAUCGUGACCUGAGCCGAAAUCAAGGGUUGGACAUUUAACUGACUGAGCCACCCCGGGGCCCUCAUGGGAGAAAGCUAUUUAAAGGUAAUGGUUAAAGCAAAUAAUGAGCAAGGAGUUAGGGAAUGACUGUCAAUAUUAGGUCUGAGGAUCUGCCGCUUACUGGCUGUGUGACUUAACUAACUUACUAGCUUACCAGUUAAGUUACUUAACCUCUCUGUGCCUCAUUUUCCUUGUCUGUAGAGCAGAGAUGAUGUGAGUAUUAAAUGAGCAGUGGCUGUAAAGUGCUCAGCUGUGCCUGGCGUAUGCCAGUCUCCCUACCUAUGGCCACAGGAAGCCUUGUCUAGGCUGCAAGUGAGGUCAGGAGCUCUGGCGCCACUAACUUUAUUGUUUCGUUUCGAACCAACUCUCUUCAGGUGUUAACUGGGUCACAUGUUAAAGGAGAAAAGCUUUCUACUUGUGUGAUCUCCAUUAGCUCCUUCAUGGAGAUUUUCUAGUAUGAAAUUCUGCCCGUUGGGGUUCCCAGUCAAGUAGACAGUAGGAUAAAUCCUUGUGUUCCUUUCCUUCCAUCCCCUUCUUCCUCUUGAGGCAUUUCUUUGACCUUUUUGUCCUUUCAUUAGGUUCUGAUCACAUAGAAGCCAGAAGGCCUCUUACCAAGCAGUAGGCAGGGCAUGUGUGAGAGGUGCUGACACAUAAAUGGUGGCUGGGACUUUCUUGCUUGGCUUCAAAGGACCAAGCCUUUGGUGUCUAACUGAGCCUGAAUGUCAAUUCAUGUGCAAGAACACAUCCCUUGGGGGAAUUGAGAGUUCCCCCCCCCCCCCCCACCUUCCACCAUGGUGGUAGAAAGGCUGAAAAUCUGAGCUGUAGAGCUUAACUGUGUUCUGUAUCUCAGGCUGCUUGUCUUAUAGCUACUGAAUUAUCUUGAUGCUCGUGGAUGAAGGCAAGUCAUUGCGGAGCAUUACUAGUGAACUUCCUGAGAGGCACUGACUCAGAACCCAGUUCUGGAACCAAGGAUAUAAGAAACUGUGUUUGUUUGUUUUUUUUUUUAUUUAAAAUUACUUCCUUCUACCUAUAAAAAGCACCUAACUCCAAAAAAAUUCCAUACCUAAAUGCUAAUAUAUAUAUAAUAAUUUUCAGUUUCCAGACAAAAUAACUCUUUUGGCGGAAGAACCUUAUUUCCAUAUCAAAGAUUUCUGUCACUCCCGUUUUUUGUUUUGAAAAUUUUCAAUAUCGCUUGAAAAAAUUGUUUUGUAUGACAUGUCACAUGUCCAUUUGGCUGUUUGAGAAGGUUAAUUGUAGUUAAGAUGAUGGGGCCCAUGAUUUGAUUUAAUAUCGGGAAACGAUAUUUGAGUAAAACUAUUGGCACUUCCAGUUCAAGACAGCAAUCUGCACACACGUUUAUUUUCUCUCCUACUGGAUCCCCACUGAAACGACUAGUAAAACAUUUACAUCAUCAAAGAAAGGAAGAGGUGGUUAUCAGCAGAUGGGAUUUAAACCGAUUUCUGGAGGAGGGAAAGCAGAUGGAAAAUGGUGCCGACGAAGCCUGGGGUGCACGUGGAGACCUGCAGCUGAGGAGGGGGUGACCUGCCCGGCAGAGCCCCCGUGAGCUCUGAACUUGGGGAGCGUCUACUGCAGAGGGCUGCCAACAGGGUCCCGUUGUAUGUCAGUACCCUCUCUUCUCUGCCCCCAGCACAGAAUGGCAGGUAGUUUUACCCCAAGCAAAAUACUCAUCUCAUUCUUACUUUUAAAAAAGUGGAAUGACUCUCUGAUGGGCAGUUAGUGUGACAUUGGUACCACAGAGUAAAGCCCUCCUGAUCCUGGAGCUUAGGCGUCCCCAGUGUCCAUUUUUGGUAAAGUGAAGCUUGUCUGUUGACUAGCCCUGUACAUCACACAGAGCUCUCUGCUGUUGAGCGUGUGUGUGCAUGUGCACGCAUAGAUAGAACUAUUUUUUAAAAUUUUUAAAUGUUUGUUUAUUUAUUUGAGAGAGAGAGAGAGAGAGAGAGAGCACACAGGGGAGGGGCAGAGAGAGGGAGACACAGAAUCCAAAACAGGCUCCAGGCUCUGAGCUGUCAGCACACAGCCCAACGUGGGGCUUGAACCCACAGACCGCGAGAUCACGACCUCAGCCAAAGCCAUGCCUAACUGACUGAACCACCCAGGCAUCCCAUAGAUAGAUCUAUUUUGACAAGAAACAUGAGACUUCUGAAUCCGAGGGCAGACCUUGUCAUACAGAGCUUCUUGGUGUCCAGUCUCCAUAGGACGACACAGUAAAAGGGUGAUGUUACCUUGUGUAUGUUUUCUAGGUUUGCUGUAACAAAGAACCACAGAUUAAGUGGCGUAAUAGCAGAAGUUUAUUUGCUUACAGUUCUGGAAGAACUGAGAUCAAGGUGUCAGUUGGAUUGUUUCCUUCCAAGGACCACAAGGGGAGGCCUGUCUCCUUGGCUUGUUGGUGGCCAUCUUCUCCCUGUGUCUUCACAGUGUUUUCUGUCUGUUUGAAGAUUAAUGGAAAGCCAAGUAUUACCAAGCAUGUUGUUAAAACUUAAAAUGAAAAAGACCAAGAUAAACAGGAAAACUGACUACUGAUGAAAGAGCUAAUUGAAUAAAAUGCAUAGAAUUAAAAAAAAACUCUCAGGGUAUGAAUGUGCAGUUACGAAUAUUUCAUCCUUAAAACAAGAAUAAGAUUCUAUUAAAGAGUUACUAUAUUGGAAAUGUAUGGCAGUUGCCAGACAGAGUAAAGAUAUAGUCCAGAAAAUGUUCUAGGUAAAAACUAAAACUAACUGCCUGUGGCCAUUUAAAUUUAAAUUAAUAACUACCAAAUUUAAAAUUCAGUUCCUUAGUUCCUUAGCCUCAUUUCAGUUGCUCAGUAACCUAUAUGUCAUUAGCAGCUAUAUUAUCGGACAGUGGAGACUUACAGAGAAUUUCUAUUUCAGAAAGUUCUGUUGGAUAGCAUUGGCAACCAAAUAAAAGAGAGAGAGACUAGAGAAAAAGGUCAGAAGUGGGGAUUACUUUUUAUUUUAUUUUUAUUAUUUUUUUUUUUUUUUGCUUUUUUUGGUGCCAAAACCUGGGAACGAACCAACUACUUUUUAGAUAAAUAAUGCAGGAAGGCAUGACUCUUCAUGUUGAGAGGCCCUACAAAAAGCCAAGCAGAGUAGUUUUUAUUAUUUAAAAAAAAAAAACUUUUUAAAAUUUAUUUUAAGAGACGGAGACAGCUCAAGUUGGGGAGGGGCGGGGGGGGGGGUGUGUGGAGAGAGAAUCCCAAGCCGACUCUGCACUGCCAGCAUAGAGCCCAAAGCGGGGCUUGAACCCAUAAAGCCGUGAGAUCAUGACCUGAACUGAAACCAAUAGUCAGACACCAACUGAGCCACCCAGGUGCCCCAAGCAGAGUGGAUUUUAAAAAGACAUACCUGGACAUAUCAGUGUGAAAUUUCAGGGAACCCAGGAUAAAGGGAGUAUUCUAAAAACUUUCAGAGAAGGAUAAGUACAAAUAUCCAUAAAGGGAUGAGAAUUAGUAGCGUUAAUAUUCCAAAGGAAAAUAAUUUUGAGUCUAGAAUUUUUUCCAAUAGUUUCAGCCAACAACGUAGUGAUUGGACAAGUUUAUACAUUACACUGUCCACCACAAAUGUAGUUACCGUCUGUCCCCAUACAAUGCUAUUACAAUACCAUUGAUUAUAUUCUUAUGCUGUGCCUUUUAUUCCCAUGACUUAUUCAUCCCAUAACUGGAAGCCUGUAUCUCCCAUUCCUGUUCACCCAUUUUACCUAACCCCUUCCCUCCUCCCCUCUGGCAGCCAUCAGUUCUCUGUAUUUAUAGGUAUGAUUCUGCUUUCUGUUUGUUUAUUCAUUUGUUGUGUGUGUGUAUUAAAUUCCACAAUGAGUGAAAUCA